AAGGAGAUUCUAAACAGCCCCUAAACAGAAGAGAACAGGCAGGCAGAAGUCAAGGGAGUUAUGUCACAGCCCAGAGACCUCACCAAUAGCUGAAGAACUAUUGGCAGUUGAUGGCUGCUGAGCUACUGAGAGCCACUUGUCUUUGGGAAUGCAGCCAAUAAUAGAUCUACAGUCAACUGACCGAUGGUAUCUAAGCUUUUCUACUGGGGAUUAUGUUCACUAGAUUUACUGAGGUUGGAAGAUCUAUUCCCUGUGAUGGAAUCCUAAACAUAUAAAAAGGAAAAAGUGGGGUGAACACAAGCAUUCCUCGCUUUGUGCUGCUCAAUCCGUAGGCAAUGACAAAUUAUUCAAGUUCCUGCCUCUUCUAUUUCCCAGCCACGGUGAAUGGUAACAAUGGUAACCACCAUCUUUGAGCCUCCAAGCAGACCCAGAACAGGACCACUCAUGACCUGAAGAGCAGAUUUUCAUAAGAAUUUCUUUUCUAUGCUCACACUAUCAACUGUAAAAGUUUCAUUUCUAAACUAUUGACACUUUCUUUCUCAGGUGUGGAUAAGCAACCUAUAAUAAAGUCACAUUUGAACCUUUUACUUUGUUACC